rnacentral:ncRNA from 1 species
UUCCAUGACGGCAGACCACUCCACUUUUUGGACUGCCGGACAUGAAAGAAAGGAGGAAAGGCCCUGCUCGGGCUGCGGCAGUGUGGAGACCUGCCGUAAGGCACGAGGCAAUAGCCUGUGCGAGGACGUUCCAUGCGGAGGCAGAACGUUCAGAGCGAAUAAGCAUGGCG